GCCCCCUUCGUCUAGCCCGGUCAGGACACCUCGUUUUCACUGAGGUAACUGGGGUUCGAAUCCCCAAGGGGGCGCCA
rnacentral:tRNA from 2 species